rnacentral:lncRNA from 1 species
ACAAAUCAUAUUACAAAAACACCAAAAAUAUUGGUGCCAUUAACUUGCUGUUAUUUUAUUUUAUAUUUAUAUUAUCUAUCUAUCACUAUUUAUUGCUUACAUGUAAUGAAUUCAAGGGGAUUGACAACCCUCUUGCCCGCAUUGGGUGCAAGUGUGUGCUCUCUUGUGUGUAGGCAUUGAAGACGGGAAUUUGCGUGGUUCUCCUAUUGGUUUG